AUUACAAGCCAGGCUAUCGCGGUGUCGCUGAUGCCGAGGAAAGUCCGGACAGCAUAGGGCAGUACACCGGUGAAAAGCCGGGUCUUGCUGAAAAGCAAGAACAGAAAGCGCCACAGAAAAUUACCGCCACGCCUACAGCGGGGUAAGGGUGAAAACGUGAGGUAAGAGCUCACGGCAUUGCAUAGUAAUAUGUUUUGCAGGUAAGCCUUGUAUGCUGAAAUGCCAUGUACACUCCGAUUUUUUGCCUGCCCGGCAAAAUGUAAGCUUACUAUCGGGGAGGGUAGGCAGAUUGAUUGUUGCGGGUAACUGCAUCAACAGAUAAAUGAUAGUCGCUUUAAUUAUUUUCGGUUUUACCGGUAAAUAUUUAAAGAACAAAAUCCGGCUUAAGGCUUGUAAUUUUU
rnacentral:RNase_P_RNA from 1 species